UCUGUCUGUGUUGAUUCCAGCAGUGAUAGUGAUGCUGAAUCAGUAUCUGCAAAGAGCUACCAAGAAACGUCAAGCCCAGUUGAUACAGUCGGUAGUUCAAAUGGAAACCAUCAAACUGACUUGGACGAUGAUGUCCACGUCGAGGAGAUGCUAUCGUCAUUGGACCACAAAGAGCUCGUGGCGACGACCACUAGCGAAAAGGCUGGGCCUUCUCGACCUCAGCGAAGAUAUAACAACGGGCCAAUACGUUUCCAAUUGCCAUCAAAACAAGAGGU